rnacentral:rRNA from 1 species
UACGUAGGUGACAAGCGUUGUCCGGAUUUACUGGGCGUAAAGAGCGCGCAGGCGGUCGUUCAAGUCGAGUGUGAAAGCCCCCGGCUCAACUGGGGAGGGUCACUCGAUACUGAUCGACUUGAAGGCAGGAGAGGGAAGCGGAAUUCCCGGUGUAGAGGUGAAAUUCGUAGAUAUCGGGAGGAACACCUGUGGCGAAGGCGGCCAUCUGGACGACAACUGACGCUGAGACGCGAAAGCGUGGGUAGCAAACAGG